rnacentral:rRNA from 1 species
GCAAAGGUAGCGCAAUCACUUGUCUUUUAAAUGGAGACCUGUAUGAAUGGCACCACGAGGGCUUAACUGUCUCCUUUCCUAGGCCAAUGAAAUUGAUCUCCCCGUGCAGAAGCGGGGAUAGUCUCAUAAGACGAGAAGACCCUAUGGAGCUUUAGACACCAAGGCAGCCUACGUUAAGCACUCUCUGACAUGACCCAAAACUAGGUAAUCCCUGCCCUAAUGUCUUCGGUUGGGGCGACCCUGGGGAAAUAAAUAACCCCCAUGAGGAGUGGAAGCAUGCUUCCAGAACCAAGAGCAACCGCUCUAAGGACCAGAACUUCUGACCACCAGAUCCGGCAAAGCCGAUCAGCGGACCGAGUUACCCUAGGGAUAACAGCGCAAUCCCCUUUUAGAGUCCAUAUCGACAAGGGGGUUUACGACCUCGAUGUUGGAUCAGGACAUCCUAAUGGUGCAGCCGCUAUUAAGGGUUCGUUUGUUCAACGAUNAANGUCCUACGUGAUCUGAG